GGGCGCUUAGCUCAGCGGGAGAGCGCUUCCCUGACACGGAAGAGGUCACUGGUUCAAUCCCAGUAGCGCCCACCA
rnacentral:tRNA from 3 species